GAUUGAACGCUGGCGGCAUGCCUUACACAUGCAAGUCGAACGGCAGCACGGGUGCUUGCACCUGGUGGCGAGUGGCGAACGGGUGAGUAAUCCAUCGGAACAUGUCCUGUAGUGGGGGAUAGCCCGGCGAAAGCCGGAUUAAUACCGCAUACGAUCUACGGAUGCAAGUGGGGGACCUUCGGGCCUCGCGCUAUCGGGUUGGUCGAUGGCUGAUUAGCUAGUUUGUGGGGUAAAGGCCUACCAAGGCGACGAUCAGUAGCUGGUCUGAGAGGACGACCAGCCACACUGGGACUUAGACAAGGCCCAGACUCCUACGGGAGGCAGCAGUGGGGAAUUUUGGACAAUGGGCGAAAGGCUGAUCCAGCAAUGCCGCGUGGGUGAAGAAGGCCUUCGGGUUGUAAAGCACUUUUGUCCGGAAAGAAAUCCUUGGCCCUAAUACGGUCGGGGGAUGACGGUACCGUAAGAAUAAGCACCGGCUAACUACGUG
rnacentral:rRNA from 1 species